UGAAUACGAGACGCUACGGCGUCGAAGCAGUCUAUGUCAUACUUCCAAGAAAAGCUCGCAAUGUCAUAAACAAAUAAUGCCUGUACCAUAACCGACACAGGUGGGUAGGUAGAGUAUACUAAGGGGCGCGAGAUAACUCUCUCUAAGGAACUCGGCAAAAUGACUCCGUAACUUCGGGAGAAGGAGUGCCUUAUUUAUAAGGUUGCAAUAACAAGAUCCAAGCAACUGUUUAUCAAAAACACAGGUCUCCGCUAAGUCGUAAGACGAUGUAUGGGGGCUGACGCCUGCCCAGUGCCAGAAGGUUAAAGAAGUUGGUUAGCAUUCGCGAAGCUGAUAACUGAAGCCCUGGUGAACGGCGGCCGUAACGAUAACGGUCCUAAGGUAGCGAAAUUCCUUGUCGGGUAAGUUCCGACCCGCACGAAAGGCGUAAUGAUUUGGAUACUGUCUCGGAGAGGGGCUCGGUGAAAUAGACUUGUCUGUGAAGAUGCGGACUACCUGCACCUGGACAGAAAGACCCUAUGAAGCUUUACUGUAACUUGAAAUUGAAAUUGGACUUUAUUUGCGCAGCAUAGGUGGGAGGCGUUGAGAGUAUUCUUGCGGGAAUAUUGGAGCCAUCAGUGAGAUACCACUCUUGUAAUGUUAGAUUUCUAACUUUGGAUCAUUAUCUGGUCAAAGAACAGUUUCAGGCGGGCAGUUUGACUGGGGCGGUCGCCUCCCAAAUGGUAACGGAGGCGUACAAAGGUUUCCUCUGAACGGGUAGAAAUCGUAUCUAGAGUGUAAAGGCAUAAGGAAGCUUGACUGUGAGACCUACAAGUCGAGCAGGGACGAAAGUCGGUCUUAGUGAUCUGACGGUGCUGAGUGGAAAGGCCGUCACUCAACGGAUAAAAGUUACUCUAGGAUAACAGGCUGAUCUCCCCCAAGAGUUCACAUCGACGGGGAGGUUUGGCACCUCGAUGUCGGCUCAUCGCAUCCUGGGGCGGUAGUACGUCCCAAGGGUUGGGCUGUUCGCCCAUGAAAGCGGUACGCGAGCUGGGUUCAGAACGUCGUGAGACAGUUCGGUCCAUAUCCGGUGUAGGCGUUAGAAUAUUGAGAGGAGCCUUCUUUAGUACGAGAGGACCGAGAAGGACAUACCUCUGGUGUACCAGUUAUCGUGCCAACGGUAAACGCUGGGUAGCUAUGUAUGGAGAGGAUAACCGCUGAAAGCAUCUAAGUGGGAAGCCCACCUCAAGAUAAG
rnacentral:rRNA from 1 species